rnacentral:rRNA from 1 species
AUGUCCGAAAUUGGGGAUAUUAUCAUCGAUAUGGACAAUAAUGAUAACAUGGAAAAUUCUGAGGCUCCGGCUGAAGAACCCCCUAUCUUUCAUACUAAAAAGUUUCGAAUCGGUAGUGGUAACAUUAUUGGAAAAGGUGUUAUUCAAGAUUUCUUUACUUGUGUCGGUGCUUUACCUUCCAUGGGUGAUUCUAUUCUUCAUAGAACUACUAGUCUUGCGGAUGCUAUCGCUAUGCUUGUAUUUGCACUUGAAAGACAAUUUAGGCAUAUGCAUCCUUGCAUACAAAGAAUUUUCCUAGAAUUUUCUAAUAUUGAGCAUUCUUCUGUUAAGCACGUUGUUACUAUCUUUUUGGCUCAUGAGUUUAGAUUUAAAAUAAGAGAGGCCAAAGAAAUCUUUGCGCACUAUAGGGUGGACGCCGGUCGUCCUCCCAUAGAGGCGAUCCUCUUCGAUCAAGAGGAAAUUAGGCGUUUUCAAUCUUCGGACUAUGUUGCUUUCAAUGAAAACCUUAGAAAAAAAGGUUCCUACCAAUGUCCUAGUUGA